rnacentral:lncRNA from 1 species
AAUGUUCUGCCUAUGCAAAGAACAGUUUCAAAUCAACCUGGAUUCGAGAGCUCAUGAAACUGAUCCUCAGCCUUCAUUUUCAGCCUUUUCCUCAAUCCUCCCCUGCACAGCCAGCUGGCUCAGCACUCUCCCCAGCAGGCCAUGCGCUCAAGUGCUUUACCUUCAACAUUUUCCCACUGAAGACCCAGCCUUCUCCUCUAGCCAAAUUAUGGUAUGCUACGUAAAAUUCCUUAGAAUUCUAUUUUAAGUGAAUUUCACGUAAGUAAAGCCCAUUGUUAAUGUCAUUGGAAAGGUUAUUUUUAAAUGAAGAGGUGUGCCAUACCCUGCCAAAUGUGAUAAUGUGUAUAGUAGCACCUAGCACAGUGCCUGGUGCAUUCUGGAUAGACAGUAAAUAUGACCUGAAUGAAUGAAAGAAUGGGCCUCACUGUCUGAUGGGAUGAGGCUCCCUGAGAAGGAGUGGGGAGUGGUGGCCUCUUUGAGGAUGACCAGCAGGCUGUUAAGCAGAAGGCUCCUUCUAGAAUUGUACUUUCCUGAGUACCUAGGACCAGCUUGGGGCCCCUCAGGCAUCUGAAUUUUUGGACCACUUUGGUUUAUAUAACCCACUUCUUAUCCAGGUUCUGUCUCUUGACAGUUUUUGUUGUUGUUGUUGUUGUUUGUUUGUUUUCUAGGUCUCACUAUGUUGCCCAGGCUGGUCUUGAACUCCUGGGCUCAAGCAGUCCUUCUGCCUCGGCCUCCAGAGUAGCUGGGACCACAGGUGCACCACACCCGACUUUGGCAGUUUUUUAACAUCUCCCAAGUCUUUAUUUUCUUGGAAGGUGAAAUAAGACAGAAGAAAAGGGUUAGAACUUUAGAACUCCAGGACCCAACCUCAGUCCUUUCAAGCACCGUCUGCAAACAGAUGCUGUGCUAGACUCAGCACCCUGUCUGGUGAAACUGCUCCUUGGGGUGACAUCGGUCGAAUGUGUGAGAGGCUUCAGCGGAUGCCCUGACUUUUACACCAUGGAAGGGCUUUCUCCUCACUCUCCAUUCUUCAUCCCACUCCAUCCAUGCGCUUUCUCCCCUCCCCAUGGGGUGGGGUGGGGGAGUCUUUCCUCCAGCUGAGAGCAGAGGCCUUGGCCAACUAGAUGUGUCUUCUGGGAUUUCACAGUCGGGCCACCUCUCACCUCUUGCACAGGCUGGUGGGUUAAAUGAAACUCCUGUAGCAACUCACAGAGCAUUUGAUUUAAAGCUAAGAUUUAUAGGAACUCACAAGUCAGAAUGGAACAAUAAUUUCCCUCCGGUUGCACUGCCACUACUGAGGAGCAAUCGCCUAAUUCCACACAGAGUUUGCUGAUUCUGUGGGCCUAACAGAGAACUCCAGAUGGGCAACUAGGAGCUAAGAAGUGCAUCCUAUGUCACCAGGAGCUAAUUUUCCCUGGAUUUUCAAAGAGGCCUCAUAUUUGACCCAUGUCAUGGCAGGGUGAAAUAUAAGUCCUUCCUGAACCCUUGGAAGCUGAACGUUGUGGACAUCAGCCAUGGGAAAUACAUUUCCUUUAAACUGAUCACCAGGCCUUAGUAUGAUCCAUGCCUUGAGUGGACAGAGACCUUUCAUGUUUGGUCAUUACUCAGCCAGACACUUCUCUGAGAGGUGAUGACUUCCCUAGGAAGGAAUAACAAAGCCCCUUUCAGGCUGUUGAUGGGCCCUGUCCACUUUAAUUUUGCAUUCAGCCUCGCUCAUUUCUGUGAGCUGAGAUUUUGAUUAUUCUGAUUUCCACGACUCCUUUUGUGAAACAGAGACACUGAGGUGAAUGCACGGGCCCAGUCCCCUCCUUUUUGAGUGUGCCCUCGGAAGCAGAGGCAGGUGGUGUUGCCGAAACACCCAGGUUCUGUCUAGGUCCUGCCGCUCCCUGCACAGAAAGCCAAUCACAGAGAUGACAAGUAUUGCCAAGGAAGAAGGCUUUAAUCAGGUGCUGUAGCUGAGAAGAUGGGAGCCCAGUCUCAAAUCCAUCUCCCCAUCCACCUAAAACUAGGGGUUUAUACACCAGGGAAGAAAGAUAACAGUGUGUAAGAAAACAGGAACUACGGAGGGGCAAGGAAGCAGUCACAAUGUAGGGUAUCUCAUUGUCUGGAUGUGUUGAUCUGUGAAAUAUGACAAACAGAGGAAAGUGCAUUAAAACCUGAGUGUUGACUGCUGGUUCCCCCAAGAUGGAGAGUCCCAUUCCUCCCAGACACUCCCUCUUACAGGUAAAAUAUCUGGACAUAACACAACAGACAGCAGAAGAAGACUCUGAAAGCUGGAGGAAGGAAGAAAAAAAGCCUAGGGACCUCAGACCUUGAAGAAUGACAGUGGAUUUCUCAUCUUGAAACCAUGGAGGCCAAAAGGAAGAGGCACAACAUUUUUCAAGUUGAAGAUAGAACUUAGAAUCACAAAUCCAAUAGCCACUGAAAACGCCCUUCAGGAAUGAAGGAGAAAUCAGACAUUCUCAGAUGAAAGAAAACUUAAGAGAACUUAUUGCCAACCUAGAAGAAAUGUGCUAAUGUCAAGAAAGCUACAAACUACCAAACUCAACGAGGAUGAUAGAGACAACCUGAAUAGUUCCAUAGCUGCUACAGAAAUUAAAGUUAUAAGCAAACGGCUCACAAAAAAGAAAUCUUCAGAUGAAAAUACUUUAAGGAGUAUUAAUACCAAUUUUACACACUCUAUCUCAGAAAGUAAAAGAAAGAACGUUUCCUGGCUCAUUGUAUAAGGCUAGUAUUACCCUGAUACCAAAAUCAGGAAAAUGCAGUACAGAAAAGAAAGUUAUAGACCACUAUCUCUAUAAAUUUAGACACAAAAUUUAUCAACAAAAUUUUGUAAACCUAAUACAGCAUCGUAUAUAAAAAAUUAUAUACACCAUGAUGAAGUGGGAUUUAUUCCAUAUAUGCAAGUUUGGUUCAAUAUUCCAGAAUCAGUCAAUGUAAUUUACUCUGUUAACCAGGUAAAGAAUAAAAAUGAUUAUAUCAUUUGAUGCAGAAAAAAAGAUUAACACAAUCCUAUGCCCAUUCACGGUAAAAAGUCUCAGCAGACUAGGAAUGGCGGGGAGUGGUGGGGACAAUCCUAAGUUGAGAAAGAGCAUCUAUUUAAAAACCUAGGCUGGGCACAGUAGCUCAUGCCUGUAGUCCCAACACUUUGAGAGGCUGAGAUGGGCGGAUUGCUUGAGCCCAGAAGUUCAAAACUAGCCUGGGCAACAUGGCAAAACCCCGUCUCUUCAAAAAAUACAAAAAUCAGGCUGGGCAAGGUGGCUCACACUUGUAAUCCCAACACUUUGGGAGGUGGAGGUGGGCAGAUCACUUGAGGUCAGGAGUUUCAGACCAGCCUGGCCAACAUGGUGAGACCUCGUCUCUAACAAACAAUACAAAAAUUAGCUGGGCAUGGUGGUG